rnacentral:sRNA from 1 species
UUAGGGCUGAUCUUGAAUCUUACGAGAGUCCGUUCUCGGGAAGGAAGAGGAUGUGGGCAGAGGAUCCUGGUAGACUUCUCUUAAACAGAUAGGACUUGAAAGAUCUUGAUUUUGAACUCGUUCUCAUAAUUUCUCUUCAUAUUGCAGAUCGCUACAAGGCCAGCCCAAAAUUUCCUUCUGAGUUCCUAGAGGUUAGAGAGGCGAUCUUCCGAGCUCACAAUCGUACGUAGAGAAGUAUCACCCGGUCGCGAGUGAUAUAACCCGAUUUUCACCGAUUUUAUCUAUGUUUUAUGUAUAGGAUUUUGAGUCUUUAUGUUAUUUCUCGGGUCUUUUUAGUGUCUUUUCAGGUAUUCUAUGCAAUGGGACAACAAUGGAGAUAAGGAGACAUUUUGGAGCAAAAUCUAAGGAAAAGGAAGUUAAGGACGAUUUUGGUUCAGGAAUCAGCGAGGAGUGUCGACCGACACACUCUUGGUGUCGAUCGACACCAGUUUCAGCCCAGCAAAAACCCUAGACGCUUUCGAGUUUCCAGAAACUCAAGUUUGCCCCAGAAGACUUCCCUAUUUGCAUUAUUAGUCUCUGGACGUUUUUAGGGUCUAUAUAUAUUGUUUUUAGACCUAAGUUUCGUU